ensembl:snRNA U6 U6 spliceosomal RNA
GUGCUUGGUUUGGCAAUGCAUAUACUAGAAUUGGAACGAAACAGAGAAGAUUGGCAUGGCCCCUGUUCAAGGAUGACAUGCAAAUUCAUGAAGUGUUCCAUAUUUAA